rnacentral:rRNA from 1 species
UUUUGUAUAAUGGGUCAGCGACUUAUAUUCUGUAGCAAGGUUAACCGUAUAGGGGAGCCGAAGGGAAACCGAGUCUUAACUGGGCGUUAAGUUGCAGGGUAUAGACCCGAAACCCGGUGAUCUAGCCAUGGGCAGGUUGAAGGUUGGGUAACACUAACUGGAGGACCGAACCGACUAAUGUUGAAAAAUUAGCGGAUGACCUGUGGCUGGGGGUGAAAGGCCAAUCAAACCGGGAGAUAGCUGGUUCUCCCCGAAAGCUAUUUAGGUAGCGCCUCGUGAACUCAUCUUCGGGGGUAGAGCACUGUUUCGGCUAGGGGGCCAUCCCGGCUUACCAACCCGAUGCAAACUACGAAUACCGAAGAAUGUUAUCACGGGAGACACACGGCGGGUGCUAACGUCCGUCGUGAAGAGGGAAACAACCCAGACCGCCAGCUAAGGUCCCAAAGUCAUGGUUAAGUGGGAAACGAUGUGGGAAGGCACAGACAGCCAGGAUGUUGGCUUAGAAGCAGCCAUCAUUUAAAGAAAGCGUAAUAGCUCACUGGUCGAGUCGGCCUGCGCG